rnacentral:rRNA from 1 species
UACGGAGGGUGCAAGCGUUAUCCGGAUUCACUGGGUUUAAAGGGUGCGUAGGCGGGUAUAUAAGUCAGUGGUGAAAGCUCCGAGCUUAACUUGGAAACUGCCAUUGAUACUGUAUAUCUUGAAUGUCGUUGAGGUUAGCGAAAUGUUGCAUGUAGCGGUGAAAUGCUUAGAUAUGUUACAGAACACCAAUUGUGAAGACAGCUAACUAAGCGAUGAUUGACGCUGAGGCACGAAAGCGUGGGGAGCAAACAGG